GCAGGCGUAGUUUACUAAAAAUGUUGGAUUGUGAUUCCAAAGAAAGGGGUUAGACCCCCCUCUCCCGCC
rnacentral:tRNA from 1 species